UACGUAGGGUGCAAGCGUUAUCCGGAUUCACUGGGUUUAAAGGGUGCGUAGGUGGAUUGGUAAGUCAGUGGUGAAAUCUCCGGGCUUAACCCGGAAACUGCCGUUGAUACUAUAUAUCUUGAAUGCCGUGGAGGUAAGCGGAAUAUGUCAUGUAGCGGUGAAAUGCUUAGAUAUGACAUAGAACACCUAUUGGCGAAGGCAGCUUACUACACGGAGAUUGACGCUCAUGCACGAAAGCGUGGGGAUCAAACAGG
rnacentral:rRNA from 1 species